AUACGUAGGGGGCGAGCGUUGUCCGGAAUGAUUGGGCGUAAGGGCGCGUAGGCGGCCCGGUAAGUCUGGAGUGAAAGUCCUGUUUUUAAGAUGGGAAUUGCUUUGGAUACUGUCGGGCUUGAGUGCAGGAGAGGUAAGUGGAAUUCCCAGUGUAGCGGUGAAAUGCGUAGAGAUUGGGAGGAACACCAGUGGCGAAGGCGACUUACUGGACUGUAACUGACGCUGAGGCGCGAAAGUGUGGGGAGCAAACAGGAUUAGAUACCCUGGUAGUCCACACUGUAAACGAUGAAUGCUAGGUGUAGGGGGUAUCGACCCCUUCUGUGCCGCAGUCAACACAAUAAGCAUUCCGCCUGGGGAGUACGGCCUCAAGGUUGAAACUCAAAGGAAUUGACGGGG
rnacentral:rRNA from 1 species